GGAGCAAUGUAUUCCAUCCCGUGCUGCUGCACUUUUUUUUUCUGUAGCCUAUGCCUACAAAGGGGGAUAAGUCAAUUUUUUUAAGUGGUGAAAAAGAGGCUAAGGGGGGAAAUUACUCGUGCACAGUGCUCCCUUAUAAAGAGAUGAUCGUGUAGGUGGGACAGAACCAGACUUUUCUCAAGAUGCCCAACUACAGCAGAAGCAAGAGCUAUACUUGAUGAAAAGGAAACUUGGCUAGACAUCCCAAAAAAUCACACUGAAGAUGCAGAGUGGCUGUGAAAUCUCAAGCACUGAAGAUGUUUAAAAUUCAAGGUACAAGGUCCCAGAGAACAGGAUCUGACUUAGUGCUGUUUUGAGCAGGAGUAAGGGGACUCAACAGGAGGAAAAGCAUAUACUUUCAGAGUCAUGCAAGAAGCCCAGUCACAUUAUACCAGUGGAGACUUCAGUGUGUAAGGUCCGAUUUCCUCAGAGGGAGUAAACAUAAGCGAUGUCCACUGAGGUCUAUGAGAAGUGUCAAUUUUUAUUACUGCGAAGAAAUUAAAGCUCAUGUUCUUAACUCUUAAAAAAAAAUGUUACUGGACUGAACUACACAUGUCAGCUGGAGAAUCCUGGAAGAAGCCCCAUUUUCAAUAAAUGACUUUCAAAGCAAGGAACAUACACAGAGGAGAAUUUAGAGUGGGAAUGAGUUACCCCCCUCUGAAUUAUUGCAUGGUUGUGCUGUUUGAUGUCAAGAGGCCUUUGCACUGCUCUGGAGUAGAUAUACCAGUAUUUUUCCUCCAAGCUCUGUCUCCCCAUCUGGCUCCACACUUGGUAUGUGUUAAAUUUAUUUUCAAGGAUGAUGAAAAACAUUCAAGAUGACCUAAUAGAUGUGUAUAAAAUAAUGAAGGAAGUGAUAAUGAUGUACAUGGUAAAACAUCUUCUUCCAUCCAAGUCGUUCAACAGCCAUGAAAUGUGGCAGAAAUGGUCAUAACAUAAGCAGGAAUAAAACCCAGUAAGGAUCUGUUUCAAUAAGAGAUAUAAACACCUGGAAAAAAUGGUCACACUGGACAACAAGAAACAAAUUGCAGUAGUAAUUUAAGUGCUUUCAAACUGUAUUAAAAAAAAAAAAAAGAAAGAAACACUGGACAGAAGGAAUGAGAUAAAUAAAACAAGAGAAUAGAAAAGACACUUGAACGCAUCCCUGUGCAAGCUGCAUGGGGAAUAAAAGUGACUGUAAAAGAGCAACUGUUUAUUAUUAGCAGUUAUCAUCAUUUAUUUGCAUGAAGCCAAAUGUAAAUGAAGCCGAAGCCAGGUACUUACAGUGCAAUUGUAAGUACAUGCUUGCUUAUAUGCUUUACAAGAACAAAUCCUGCUUUCUCACCUUGAGCAAUGACUGUUCAAGAUGAUGGCACUGACAUAUUACGCUUGACCACUCAUGAAGUAUGCCAAACUUUCAGAGAUUAAGACUUUUACUAAGAACAUUUGCUGCUUUACUAAGAACAUUUGCUGCUUUAAAAAAAUCCUUCUGGCCUCUCAAACUGAUUUCACAGAAUCAUAGAAUGGCUUGGUUUGCAAAGGACCUCAGGAAUCAUCAAGCUCCAACCUGCCUGCUGCAGGCAGGGCUGCCAACAUCCAUAUCUAAUACUAGACCAGACUGCCCAGGGCCCCAUCCAACCUGGCUUUGAACACCCCCAGGGAUGGGAUUUAUUCCUUUUAAAGUCUGAUUUGAGCCUGAACUCCAAAUCUAAAACCUUGAAGAUGUAUAUUUUUCCCCUAAAUCUGAAGCUUGGACUCUUCUCUGGUACUGACUCUUAAUUUUGGUGCCACAACAAUUUACACUUGUUAAAUGUGUGACUCUCUGUUUAUUCCCUAUAGACUGAGCUGAAAAAAAGGCAAAAUGUAACCUAUGCCUACAUAUGUUUUGAGAGAGCUUUUGAAAGUAAUAUUAAAUAAGUAAUAUUGUUAAAAGUAUGGAAGUACAUUCCGUUUCCUCUUGAAUAGCUCCACUGUCAGUUCUGUUAAUUGUUGCCCUGAGGCAAAAUGCUCAUGUGUACAGAUAAUACUACCCAAAACACACUGGAUGACAACCCUCUGUUUAUACACAGGACUUCCCUCUGUCCAAGUUUCUCUUCUACGUCAUAACAAGCUGCUUUUCAUGUUGUUCUUGACAGAUUGUGCCUCAGGGCAAGAAGCAGGGUGGUACAAGUACCUACAUGUACAGCUGACACAUGCUUUCAUCAUAUUAUGGACUUCAGUACCUUUUCAUUCUCUGUAUCUGAAAAGUGUAGCAUGAUAUAAAAGGCACAGUAUCAUUAUUUUUAACCAUUUUAUCAUCUAUUUUGCAGUUGGACUUGAUCUUUUUCCAACCUGAACAAUUCUAUGAUUCUACAAUUCUAUGAUGAGUAACAAGAGAUUAACUCAAAUGCUUACAUAAUUAAAGUGCUGUUUGAGCAUUUCAAAAUUGAUACUUGCUUGUUCAAGACCUUAUUGCAACAAUUUCAGAUGAGGAUCUUCAGUAUAAAAUACUGAUUUCACUCAUUAUAACACCAGACCAUGACAGAAUUCUCUGACUUAGAUCUGUGCUGAACUUUGGCUUACCUUGAACAAAAUUUAAAUAGCAACAUGUUUUGUUUCCAGUGUAUCUCCAAUUAAUAAAUGCAUUCAUUUGAAAACACUUCACCUCAAGUUCCUCCAGGUCCACCUUUUAAAUAAAGGCCUAUUUUCUCUUCCUGACAUCAUUCGCAGCAAAGACAGAUAGAUUGUGUGCAGAGUUUAUUACAAGAUCGAUCAAGAUAAUUGAGGUAUAAUUUUCUCAGUGAUUUCUGUCAUCAUUUUUAAAGGCAGGGAUGAUUAUGUUUCUCUUUCACCCAUCUGGGAAAACACACAGUGUUCUCAUGUAAUUUGAACAUUUCAGCAAGGAUGUGAGACCAUCUUUUUGGAUGUAACUAAUAGCUCUGCCAUUAGGCCAUCCUCUCUCGAGACUUCAUUUUUCUUACUAAUAAUCAUCAACACUAUCUCUUGUUCAGAAAAAAAAAAAAAGAAAAGAAAAGAAAAGAAAAGAAAAGAAAAGAAAAGAAAAGAAAAGAAAAGAAAAGAAAAGAAAAGAAAAGAAAAGAAAAGAAAAGAAAAGAAAAGAAAAGAAAAGAAAAGAAAAGAAAGAGCCACACCUAAGACUUUUUCUCAUUGGCAUAACAGCCAAUUUCAAAUUUAAGAUGUGGCUUAUGCUUAUGACAAUUCAAAUGCUCCCUAUGAAAUCUCCAGAGAGAAUCCCUUUCUUUUUUCCCCACUUUUUUUUUUUUUUUUUAAGAAUGUUUAUUUAAGUUACUUUUGUGGGUUUUUUUUAAGGCUAUUUCAAAACUAAACUCCAAGUCCCCUAAUUUUGCUCAAGUAACCACAUGAAAUUUUCUAAUUUACACCAAUUUUUCCAUGCCAUAAUUUAAGUGAAUUAUUCUUAAUUACAUCUAACCUUUCAGUAGAACAAGAUCCUGACUGUCUACUUUGUUAUUUUUCUCUUGGUCUUUUUUUUUUUUCCCUGUGUACUAUUCUGUUUUGGUAACUGUGAUAUCCUCUAUCACAAACAGCAUUCUGAAAAGCAUCUGAAAUACAAUUUCUUUGGUCCAAUAUUCGAUAAAUUUCUGGAUCUGUGAUGGUAAUGCUCAGUUUUACUGUCAUCACCUAUAUUCCAAUCGACUGUAACCAUUAGUACUCUACCCAGGAAUUUUGUUUCAAUCACUUUCACCUCUUAACACCCGAAAGGAAUAAGGCUUCAAGUUGAAGUUUUGGCCUUUGCUUAUUACUAAGAUAAAACCAGGACAUCAAAUAGGUUAACAACACACCCAUGACGGUAUAUUAUUGUCUAAGUAGUUUGUAUUAUUGUUUUGAAUCCUGGUUUUAUUAUUCUUCCAUAACCGACAGAGUUAAAGCAUUACUUCUGGAUAUGAGACCUGUGAUCUCCAAGGAUGUUUGUGAUGUAAAUAUACUUAAGCUUCAAGGUCCAUCUCUAAGCAUCUAUGUCCACAUUAAACAUUCUUUGUGUUAUAUAUCUAUAUACAA
ensembl:lncRNA